rnacentral:lncRNA from 1 species
CGGGGUUAAACAUGUUUAUGAGAUCUCAACCCUCCCCCUAUGCCUCUAGCCAAUGUAGACAAUUAAACACAUAACAAUACGCACAUUAAAAUUCAGUUCAAGAGAAGUCCGAUGUCAGAAGAUGUAACAAAAGAAAAUAAACAAAAUGACAAUAAUACAUAAAUAACAACAGACUACUAGCAGUAAACUGACAUGCCAGCUCCAGAC